GAUGAACGCUGGCGGCGUGCCUAAUACAUGCAAGUCGAGCGAACAGAUAAGGAGCUUGCUCCUUUGACGUUAGCGGCGGACGGGUGAGUAACACGUGGGUAACCUACCUAUAAGACUGGGAUAACUUCGGGAAACCGGAGCUAAUACCGGAUAACAUUUGGAACCGCAUGGUUCUAAAGUGAAAGAUGGUUUUGCUAUCACUUAUAGAUGGACCCGCGCCGUAUUAGCUAGUUGGUAAGGUAACGGCGUACCAAGGCGACGAUACGUAGCCGACCUGAGAGGAUGAGCGGCCACACUGGAACUGAGACACGGUCCAGACUCCUACGGGAGGCAGCAGUAGGGAAUCUUCCGCAAUGGGCGAAAGCCUGACGGAGCAACGCCGCGUGAGUGAUGAAGGUCUUCGGAUCGUAAAACUCUGUUAUUAGGGAAGAACAAACGUGUAAGUAACUGUGCACGUCUUGACGGUACCUAAUCAGAAAGCCACGGCUAACUACGUGCCAGCCGCCGCAGUAA
rnacentral:rRNA from 1 species